UCCCAAAGCAGAUAUCCUGAUCCUCUGGAA
rnacentral:piRNA from 1 species